UUGUCGGUUAGUCCGCAGUGUGCCCACACC
rnacentral:sRNA from 1 species